rnacentral:rRNA from 1 species
GACGAACGCUGGCGGCGUGCCUAAUACAUGCAAGUCGAACGCACUCUCGUUUAGAUUGAAGGAGCUUGCUCCUGAUUGAUAAACAUUUGAGUGAGUGGCGGACGGGUGAGUAACACGUGGGUAACCUGCCCUAAAGUGGGGGAUAACAUUUGGAAACAGAUGCUAAUACCGCAUAAAACCUAACACCGCAUGGUGUAGGGUUGAAAGAUGGUUUCGGCUAUCACUUUAGGAUGGACCCGCGGUGCAUUAGUUAGUUGGUGAGGUAAAGGCUCACCAAGACCGUGAUGCAUAGCCGACCUGAGAGGGUAAUCGGCCACACUGGGACUGAGACACGGCCCAGACUCCUACGGGAGGCAGCAGUAGGGAAUCUUCCACAAUGGACGAAAGUCUGAUGGAGCAACGCCGCGUGAGUGAAGAAGGUUUUCGGAUCGUAAAACUCUGUUGUUGGAGAAGAAUGUAUCUGAUAGUAACUGAUCAGG